rnacentral:rRNA from 1 species
CCUUUGUGAACAUACCUAUAACUGUUGCUUCGGCGGGUAGGGUCUCCGUGACCCUCCCGGCCUCCCGCCCCCGGGCGGGUCGGCGCCCGCCGGAGGAUAACCAAACUCUGAUUUAACGACGUUUCUUCUGAGUGGUACAAGCAAAUAAUCAAAACUUUUAACAACGGAUCUCUUGGUUCUGGCAUCGAUGAAGAACGCAGCGAAAUGCGAUAAGUAAUGUGAAUUGCAGAAUUCAGUGAAUCAUCGAAUCUUUGAACGCACAUUGCGCCCGCCAGCAUUCUGGCGGGCAUGCCUGUUCGAGCGUCAUUUCAACCCUCAAGCUCUGCUUGGUGUUGGGGCCCUACAGCUGAUGUAGGCCCUCAAAGGUAGUGGCGGACCCUCCCGGAGCCUCCUUUGCGUAGUAACUUUACGUCUCGCACUGGGAUCCGGAGGGACUCUUGCCGUAAAACCCCCAAUUUUCCAAAGGUUGACCUCGGAUCAGGUAGGAAUACCCGCUGAACUUAAG